rnacentral:rRNA from 1 species
GAUGAACGCUGGCGGCGUGCCUAAUACAUGCAAGUCGAGCGAACGGACGAGAAGCUUGCUUUUCUGAUGUUAGCGGCGGACGGGUGAGUAACACGUGGAUAACCUACCUAUAAGACUGGGAUAACUUCGGGAAACCGGAGCUAAUACCGGAUAAUAUUUUGAACCGCAUUGUUCAAAAGUGAAAGACGGUCUUGCUGUCACUUAUAGAUGGAUCCGCGCUGCAUUAGCUAGUUGGUAAGGUAACGGCUUACCAAGGCAACGAUGCAUAGCCGACCUGAGAGGGUGAUCGGCCACACUGGAGCUGAGACACGGUCCAGACUCCUACGGGAGGCAGCAGUAGGGAAUCUUCCGCAAUGGGCGAAAGCCUGACGGAGCAACGCCUCGUGAGUGAUGAAGGUCUUCGGACCGUAAAACUCUGUUAUUAGGGAAGAACAUAUGUGUAAGUAACUGUGCACAUCUUGACGGUACCUAAUCAGAAAGCCACGGCUAACUACGUG